AUGGCUGCAUCUGUGGACAUUAGUCUAUGUGCUAUUUUUAGUGGAGGAACCCAUGUGACCGUCCUUGGUCAGCCCAAGUCAGCACCAUCGGUCAUGCUGUUUCCACCCUCCCAUGAGGAGCUCAAUGCCAAUAAGGCCACGCUGGUGUGCCUCAUCAGUGACUUCUACCCCAGUGGCUUGACAGUGGCCUGGAAGGCAGAUGGCAACCCUGUCACCCAGGGCAUCGAGACCACCAAGCCCUCCAAACAGAGCAACAACAAGUACGCAGCCAGCAGCUACCUGAGCCUGUCACCUGACCAGUGGAAAUCUCGCAGUCAGCCCAAGUCCUCGCCUUCAGUAACCCUCUUCCCGCCCUCCCCUGACGAACUCAGCACCAACAAGGCCACCCUGGUGUGUCUCAUCAGUGACUUCUAA